rnacentral:rRNA from 1 species
GUGCCAGCAGCCGCGGUAAGACGAACCGUGCAAACGUUGUUCGGAAUCACUGGGCUUAAAGGGCGCGUAGGCUGUUCGUUAAGUCUUGGGUGAAAUCUUUCGGCUUAACCGGAAAAUUGCCCGGGAUACUGGCGAGCUCGAGGGUGGUAGGGGCGAUCGGAACUGCCAGUGGAGCGGUGAAAUGCGUUGAUAUUGGCAGGAACGCCGGUGGCGAAAGCGGAUCGCUGGAUCACUCCUGACGCUGAGGCGCGAAAGCUAGGGGAGCAAACGGGAUUAGAUACCCUUGUAGUCC